AGGAAUACACCAUCUCUCUCUUCAGAGCACUCCCCACACUCUGCACCACCAAAGAAGCUUGGACAUGCCAGUGAGGCAUGACUUCAUAUCCUUUAGCCAACAGAAGAUCCUGCGGUUUACCUCCAGAAAAGACCUCUCUUCAGUCCUGUGUUGCUUUUUGACGGGUCCUGUUGUCUUGUGGCCGUUGGAACCACACCCAAAGUCACGGUGCAGCAACGAGAAGGCAAUCCUCCACAGGGACCUGCGGGGAAUAAAGUAGAUCCAGGAGAUUGGAUCUGGUUGAAGGUAAUUGUGGGACCUGACUGUUGUACAUUCAUUCCAGACAAUUCAGGUGACAGUGGUGUCAUUGCUCAAACCAAAGCUAAUCUAACUCGAAUUCGGGAUGCAAUUGAAAAGGGAUAUGUGCAAGAUGAAGGGGGAUUUUUUAACUGGUUAUUUUCAGGAGGUUGAAGACAAUGGAUGAUCAAGAUGGCUAUGAUAUUUCUGUUUGUGUUCUUAGUAAUGACAAUGAUUGCAUCAUUAU